UUUACAUAUUUUUUUUCUAUUUUGGUAGAGGUCUAAUAGUUUUUCGAAAACACUAGAAGAAGAAUCAUUUGUGUAAAGGUAUAAGUUUAACAUUCCUUAUAGCAACUCCAAAUCUUUGCUAUUUUGCACCUUUCACUAUGAGUAAAAAUAUAGAUUCAUACCUUAAACUAACUGUGAUGAGAGUCCGGUUAUACCUAGUGAGCAUUCUCAUUCUCAUUGGUUUGUCUAUACUUGAAGAGGGGAUAUAUAAUUGAUUCAUCACGUUAUCAAGAAAUGAGUGAAAAAGAUUACCAUCUCACACCUAUAUUAGAGAGUGCUUUUGCGACAAGUUUUGAGUGGAUGAUGGUGCAGGUAAGAUCUAUGAACACAGUUGUUGGGGUACUAUGUAUGCUUUUUGAAUUUAGUGUUAUCAACAAAAGGAGGAAUGGGAAUCCGGCUAUUACUUAUUGUACCACAUGUAUGAGCUUGUUUUAAGCAAACAAGUCGAAUUCCUUCAAAAUCUUAACUUUUUUAAAGCUUUGGAUUGAUGCACGCCAUUUUGGUAUCUAUGAUAUUCCAUAUAUGACAUCCUUAGCAUUUUACAAAUCCGAUCUCGACGAUGCAGAUGAUGUCACACAAUAGUUCAGGGGCUUCCAACCGAAAGAAAACAAUCUCUUCAACGUAAAUUGGAACCCACCAGUCGAGGUACGAGUUUACCUGAGUUUUUAGAUGGUGAUCAUACUACUUAAAAGAAAGCUAUCAGAAUGACGAGAUCAUCAUCAUAAGGUUUCCGAUUGAGUUUAAAUCUGCCAGUUUACCACUUUGCCUUAGAUUACAAUGAUAUGGUGUAACAUACUAUUGAUCUUAUUAUACUUUGGUAUUAAUCUAUUGAAGCAAUAGACUUGCCUGCUGGGUCGUGUGGAUUGCUGGUUACAUCUUCAAGUCAUGGAUGGAUUCCUGGUGGUAGCGUUGGUCAUUUUUUAUUACGCCAUGCAUUAAUGAUAGGUUAGAUAUGGCUCUGGCUGUUGGUCACCUCUCCUAAUCAUGACCAUUCUAUUCAUGUCACUUUAGACCGAAUUUACAUUUCUUUUGUAAUAGUCUCCCACUUGUUUUUUUUUUU